CUAUUUUAGGAUAUCAAUUCUGAUUGAAAAUUUUGGGGGCUCAUGAUACUGCAUAGACCCGAAGGUAUGUGUAAAAUUUGAAUGAAAUCGGUUGGGUAGUUCUCUAGUUUUAGCGAUGCACACUGACAGACAGACAGA